GGAAAGGAAAGGAAAGGAAACGUAUGAGAGGGAGAGAGGAAGAAGAGAAGAGAAAGGGAGGGAGUUAGGCUUGGAUCUAGGAGUCUUUGCGACCGUUGCGAGCUCGGCUACACGAUAGAAAAUUGUUGGUGGAACUUAUUGAGAAGUAAGGAACAAGCCGAGCCCUAUUUUGUACAAGGGGAACCCUUUUGGUACCAAAGGGUUGAGGUCCAGGCGAAGGAUCCAGUGGUGGACGGGGAAAGGAGCAAAGCUAGGGGUUUGCUUGUGAUUUGUAAAGAACUGCAACCCCUUUCUUUUGAGCAAAUAUAUUGUAAUGUAUUUAAGAUUAGGGUGCCAGUAGGAUAUGAUUGUGUGUGUGUGUGUGAAUAUGUGUGGAUUGUGUGCUUGUGUAUGAAUUUUUGUCUGUUUGCAGACUUGUGGCUAGGAAACUUAGUUAUGGUGUGUGGUUUUGAUGGAUUUACUUAGUAGACCAAGUUUCUAUUACAAGCAGAUCUUUAUUUUGAUAUAUAUGUGAU